rnacentral:rRNA from 1 species
CAGUAGCCGCGGUAAUACGAAGGGUGCAAGCGUUACUCGGAAUUACUGGGCGUAAAGCGUGUGUAGGUGGUUGUUUAAGUCUGUCGUGAAAGCCCUGGGCUCAACCUGGGAAUUGCGAUGGAUACUGGGCGACUAGAGUGCGGUAGAGGAUAGUGGAAUUUCCGGUGUAGCAGUGAAAUGCGUAGAGAUGUGGAGGAAUACCGAUGGCGAAGGCAGCCCCCUGGGCCAAUACUGACGCUCAUGCACGAAAGCGUGGGGAGCAAACAGGAUUAGAUACCCGUGUAGUCCCUGUCUCUUAUAC